UACGAAGGGGGCUAGCGUUGCUCGGAAUUACUGGGCGUAAAGGGCGUGCAGGCGGCUUGUUAAGUGCAGGGUGAAAGCUCCCGGCUCAACUGGGAGAGGUCCUUGCAUACUGGCAAACUCGAGGGAGGCAGAGGAAAGUGGAAUUCCCGGUGUAGUGGUGAUAUGCGUAGAUAUCGGGAGGAACACCUGUGGCGAAAGCGGCUCACUGGACCAUUACUGACGCUGAGGAGCGAAAGCGUGGGGAGCGAACAGG
rnacentral:rRNA from 1 species